rnacentral:rRNA from 1 species
UACAGAGGAUGCAAGCGUUAUCCGGAAUGAUUGGGCGUAAAGCGUCUGUAGGUGGCUUUUUAAGUCCGCCGUCAAAUCCCAGGGCUCAACUCUGGACAGGCGGUGGAAACUACCAAGCUGGAGUACGGUAGGGGCAGAGGGAAUUUCCGGUGGAGCGGUGAAAUGCGCAGAUAUCGGGAAGAACACCCAUGGCGAAGGCAGCUCUCUGGGACGGUACUGACGCUGAGACGCGAAAGCGUGGGGAGCAAACAGG